rnacentral:rRNA from 1 species
UACGGGGGGGGCAAGCGUUGUUCGGAAUUACUGGGCGUAAAGGGCUCGUAGGCGGCGAACUAAGUCAGACGUGAAAUCCCUCGGCUUAACUGGGGAACUGCAUCUGAUACUGGAUGGCUUGAGUUCGGGAGAGGGAUGCGGAAUUCCAGGUGUAGCGGUGAAAUGCGUAGAUAUCUGGAGGAACACCGGUGGCGAAGGCGGCAUCCUGGACCGACACUGACGCUGAGGAGCGAAAGCCAGGGGAGCAAACGGG